AUGCAAAAUCAGAUGCUUCCUCAUGCUUCUAUGAACAGAACACAAGGGAAUGCCCUGAACAUUCCAGUGAGUGCAGCUAUGUAUGGUAUCUUCAAUAGUCAAGGCAAUACACAGGUAAACUUGCCUGUGAACCUGGGUCCACAUACUUCAGUGGGUGACUCCAACCUAGUGUGUACUGCGCUCCAACCCCCUGCAAACAAAGUCGCUUAUGAAGCCCCCAUGUCAUACACGCAACUCCUACUUGCUGCUGAAGAAGAGGGUGCUAGAUAUGCAUCCUCACAAUCACAAGAAGAUUGCCUUGUUCGUACUGAGAACGAUAUGUACAUGAUAACUGGGCGAUACAGUAGAUCUUCAGAAGAUCCAUUACAAGCACACACUGGGGGUGGAGCUCAGCAUAUAUCUGGAGUCGAUGACCAGCAUGAUAUAGAGCUUGAACCUUUUGUUGACAACCGUUUUUCAGAAAGCUUGAAUGAUUUGAACUGGGACAACGAAAUGCAGACAGAAGCAGGAGGAAACAAAAACGGCUCUAUGGUGUCAAAUGAGAUUGCUUCUGACAAUGAUUCUGAUUCCGAGGAUGAUCAUUCUCCAGCGUUGUUGCAAAAAGCCUCUGAGAUUACUGUUACAACUGCUGGAGAAGAAGAAAACAGUGGUGCAGCUGGCGAAGUUCAAAAAUUAACACAGGAUGAUAUACUGAUAUUCCUUGAAAAUGACAGUAUAGAAGCCGCUCAGAGUGCUAGCCAAGAAGUGCGCAGCCAUCACGUACCCCAUGUGGACAUGGUCUUUGAUAUGGAUGAUGCAGCUUACAACUUUUACAAUGAGUAUGCCUCAAUUGCUGGUUUUUCUGUGAUCAAAGCAUCUCGAUAUUGUGGCAAGAAACAAGGAGGCAGUGCAGCAACUCGGGUAACUUUCAAGUGCAAUCGGUCAGGAAGAGUAAUUGAUGAAGAAGAACAAGAGAAUAGGAAGAAGAAACGACGUGACACAAGGCAACAGAAAACAGGACAAGCGCCCUAUCGCAACGCAAGGAAGAAAAAAGCAAACACCAUUGCAAUAACAGGGUGUAAAGCUUAG
rnacentral:rRNA from 1 species